UUAUUCAAAAUAAGGAUUAAAAGACUGGUGAUUAAAUGUAAUCAUUAAAAUUAGUAAAUUUGGCGGUAUUAUAGUUAAUUAGAGGAACUUGUUGUGUAAAUUGAUAAUCCACGAUAGGAUGACCUGUUUAUAAUUUAUGUAUUGUUGUUUUAAAAUUAUAUUAUUAGAUUAAUAAUUAAAAAAUUUUAUGUUCUUUAAAUUCAAAUCAAAAUGUAGUUUGGACAGGGCUUGAUGAGUUACAGUAUAGAAUAAUACGAAUAUUAAUUUUUAAUAAUUAAUUGAGGAAGAAUUUAAUUGUAAAUUAAUAUAAUUUUAUUAGUUGAUAAAAGAUUUAUAAUG
rnacentral:rRNA from 1 species